CCAUUGUCCAGAUGAGGAAACUGAGGCUUCAGGGAGGUUGGGUAAUGUCCCCAAUGAUACUGGCCAGGAAAAGAUGGCAAAGCAUUUGCUGUUUACCCCAUUGCAAGUAGCCCCUCCUGCUCUCAGGCAGUCUCUCUACUUUGCUGAGAUUAUCCUGUCCGCUGCCUGGAGUCCCCACAAGAGCAGGGACUUUGUCUAACUCACUGCUGCAUAGGGUCUGGCACAUAGUAGGCCCUCAAUGAAUAUUUGUUGAAUGAAUGAGAUGGGUGGGAUUCAAAUCUUAGUUCUGGCCAUGAGGCUUGUGCUUCCUGUCACAGUACUGUCCCUACAUGUGUCACAACUCAAAAAGUGUGCACUGAGCCUACUAGGCCUCCUAACAGAGCAGCCAAGGGACCCCACAGGAUUGCAGCACCUUUGAAAAGUCUGGCAGAAAGCCUGUAAUCUUUGCAAGGCCCAGAGAAUUUUAUUUCUGUUACUUGCUCGUCCAGUUUGAGGAUCCUGAACUGGUCAAGAACUGGUUAACAAAUGCUCUGGAAGUUUCCUGCUGCAAUGAGGUGGAGAGGCAGCCAGGGCAGCUUUGAGAAGGCGAACCUGAGCUCUUUGCUGUCCUUGAGUGGACCUGCCCCCAUGUCCUGCAGCCUCCAGACCCUGCUGACCUCUUCGACUUUAUCUCCUGGCGAUCCUGCCCUCCCUUUGGGCUCCCUCUCUGUGGGGCACACCCUGAGCAGACUCAUGGGGUCCCAUUGGGCAGUGACACCCUGGGGCCUGCCCCCCACACGAACUCCCUCAAUCCUGCCAUCCUGAUUCCUUUUCUCAUAAGAUUCCUCUAGCUAUGUGGGCUUUCAUUUGCUUCCUUCCUAUCUGUUCCCCUACCUCCAAGACCUUGUCUGUCUUGUGUAGCAUCGAAUGAUGAGAAUCUAGAAAUGAGUCUAACCUCUGGCCCUACUCAGGUUCAGAGAUAUAUAUGGGGAUGGGAAAAAAAAUCCCAAUCAAACCAACACCUAACCUGGAGCCUGACAAAUAGCUCUCAGAAAAUGUGUCCCCCCUCUUCAGGUAAUCUCUCCUGAAAGAGGUGGCCUUUGAGGAAUGCUUUGGGAUGGGCAAGGGAUCCAAAGGGAGGACCCUUAGCCCUGUCCUGUUGUCCCACCUGCCCUGCCCUUGCCUCGUUUUGCAUGAAGCAGCUGAGGUCCAGAGAAGAGGCAGGGCCCGCGGGGGCCAUCUGGAUAUACUCCAAGUCUAAUUCCCAGUCCAGUACUCUUGCCCCACCCGACCCGCCUCCAUCUCCUGUCCAGUUGAGAAAGCCUCCAAGUGGGGCUCCUGGUGCCAGGUCUUCAUAGGGGCCAGGUUUCCCCAAAUCCUCCAUCGGGUCCUGCCCACACCCUGCUUCCCAUCACACUUAGAGUAAGAUCCAGGGGUCUCCCCCAGCCCCAAGGCCGGGUGUGGCCUGCGCCCCGCGGUCUUCCUCCGGUCCCCACCCCGGCUCCCUUCGCCGUCCCUGCCCCGGACCGCGAGCCGCCCGCCACCACGGGGCCUUCGUGCUGCUGUUCCCUCUCUUCGCAGACUUUCACAGUCUUCCUCCCCCUGUGCCGAUCAGGUGUAGUGUCCCCAGGGAAGCCCUCCCUAAACACCCCAUCUGCAGUGGGGUUCCCUGCUUCACCACUUCCCCGAGCCCCCGCCCCCGCGUCUUUCACAAAUCACGUUUCCAUGUUUUUCUUCGGUAGCACUUAUCACCACUUGGGAGCUUUUGCACUGAUAACCCUAGUUUUCUGCGCCACCCUCAGGCCAGCUUGUCUGGGCGAUCACGGACUCCAUCGCACCUGGCACACAGUAGAUGCUCAAUAAACAUUUGAAUAAAUGAAAUAAAAAGGGCCCU
rnacentral:lncRNA from 1 species